rnacentral:tRNA from 1 species
GAUGGCUCAGUGGUAGAGUGCUUGCCUCAUAUGCAUGAGGCCCUGGGUUCGAUUCCUCAGCAUCA